UACGGGGGGAGCAAGCGUUGUUCGGAUUUACUGGGCGUAAAGGGCGCGUAGGCGGCCACGACAAGUCAGUUGUGAAAUCUCUGGGCUUAACUCAGAACGGUCAACUGAUACUGUCGGGCUAGAGUGCAGAAGGGGCAACUGGAAUUCUUGGUGUAGCGGUGAAAUGCGUAGAUAUCAAGAGGAACACCUGAGGUGAAGACGGGUUGCUGGGCUGACACUGACGCUGAGGCGCGAAAGCCAGGGGAGCAAACGGG
rnacentral:rRNA from 1 species